rfam:Brassica napus, WGS project CCCW01000000 data, contig: 7565
UCCUCUGAUGAUGUCAAAACUUUCGUUCUCCUGAGAUUUCAAUGUGCUGAAAAAAAUUGGAGACCUGAACUGAAGAGUU